rnacentral:ribozyme from 1 species
AGCAGAGUGACGAGGAGAGCAUCCUCCUCGGUAAUGCUACCAAUGGCGGUCACAAGUCCGC